rnacentral:lncRNA from 10 species
CAAGAAGGCCCCCAAAAGGAGCCAGCAUCUUGAUUUUGGACUUCCCAGCCUCUAGCACGAUGGAGUCUUGCUCUGUCCCCCAGGCUGGAGUGCAGUGGCAUGAUCUCGGCUCACUGCAAGCUCCGCCUCCUGGGUUCAUGCCAUUCUCCUGCCUCAGUCUCACGAGUAACUGGGAUUACAGUCAUAUGAGAAAACGGUCUGAACUUUGAUCUUCAUUGGGAUUCAGAUAUCAGAGAGUGGCGCUGAAGGAGGAACAAUUUUAAUUAGGGACAAAGAAGGCCUAGAAAGAGGUUUAUUCUCAAGUGAGGAGCACCUCUGCCCAGCCGCCCCACCAUCUGGGAAGUGUGGAGCGCCUCUGCCUGGAGCCCAGCUGUCUGGAAAGUGAGGAGCUCCUCUGCCCGGUCGCCAACCUGUCUGGGAAGUGAGGAGCGACUCUCCUUGGUCGCCACAAUGUCUGGGAAGUGAGGAGUGUCUCUGCCUGGCCGCUCCAUUGUCUGGGAAGCGAGGAGC